rnacentral:rRNA from 1 species
AGAGUUUGAUCCUGGCUCAGGACGAACGCUGGCGGCGUGCCUAAUACAUGCAAGUCGAGCGGAGUGGUUUUGAAAGCUUGCUUUCAAAACCACUUAGCGGCGGACGGGUGAGUAACACGUAGGCAACCUGCCCUCAAGACUGGGAUAACUACCGGAAACGGUAGCUAAUACCGGAUAAUUUCUUUUUUCUCCUGAAGAGAGAAUGAAAGGCGGAGCAAUCUGUCACUUGGGGAUGGGCCUGCGGCGCAUUAGCUAGUUGGUGGGGUAAUGGCCCACCAAGGCGACGAUGCGUAGCCGACCUGAGAGGGUGAACGGCCACACUGGGACUGAGACACGGCCCAGACUCCUACGGGAGGCAGCAGUAGGGAAUCUUCCGCAAUGGGCGAAAGCCUGACGGAGCAACGCCGCGUGAGUGAUGAAGGUUUUCGGAUCGUAAAGCUCUGUUGCCAGGGAAGAACGUCCGGUAGAAUCACUGCUACCGGAGUGACGGUACCUGAGAAGAAAGCCCCGGCUAACUACGUGCCAGCAGCCGCGGUAAU